rnacentral:lncRNA from 1 species
AAAGAGAUUAUAUUAUAUAUAAAAUUAAAGCACAAAAAGUCUUGCUUAAUAAUUACAGUACUAACAUAUUUUGGUAUUGAGCAGGAUAAGUUUGUAAAAAAUAAAACAAUAAAAGUACAAGCUACACAUAAGUCACACCAUUAUAAGCUACACAUAAGUCACACCAUCUUUCAAUGAAUAUGUAGUUGGUAUAAGUAAAUUUCACUGAGACACAAUUUUUAAGUACACUUUUAGAUACACUCAGUCUAGCAGCAAACGUUACAACUCAUGAAGUGAAGAUUACCAGUCAUCUGCU